GGGUUCCACCACAACACCUUGUGGAUGAUUAUACAGAGCUGCCAGGCUCAGUUCUAAGUAUUCUGUUCCCGACCUACGAAGAAGCGGAAGCACAUUCUGCCACCUGAAUCCGACACAGACACUGAUGAGCC